UACGGAGGGUGCAAGCGUUGUUCGGAAUUAUUGGGCGUAAAGCGCACGUAGGCGGGUUUGUAUGUCGAUUGUGAAAGCCCCGGGCUCAACCUGGGAAUUGCAGUCGAAACUGCAGAUCUUGAAUACCUAAGGGGGUGGGAGAAUUGCUGGUGGAGUAGUGAAAUACGUAGAGAUCAGCAGGAAUACCUGAGGCGAAGGCGCCUACCUGGUAGUGUAUUGACGCUGAGGUGCGAAAGCGUGGGGAGCAAACAGG
rnacentral:rRNA from 1 species